rnacentral:rRNA from 1 species
AGUGAACGCUGGCGGUAGGCCUAACACAUGCAAGUCGAACGGCAGCACAGUAAGAGCUUGCUCUUACGGGUGGCGGGUGGCGGACGGGUGAGGAAUACAUCGGAAUCUACUUUUUCGUGGGGGAUAACGUAGGGAAACUUACGCUAAUACCGCAUACGACCUACGGGUGAAAGCAGGGGAUCUUCGGACCUUGCGCGAUUGAAUGAGCCGAUGUCGGAUUAGCUAGUUGGCGGGGUAAAGGCCCACCAAGGCGACGAUCCGUAGCUGGUCUGAGAGGAUGAUCAGCCACACUGGAACUGGGACACGGUCCAGACUCCUACGGGAGGCAGCAGUGGGGAAUAUUGGACAAUGGGCGCAAGCCUGAUCCAGCCAUACCGCGUGGGUGAAGAAGGCCUUCGGGUUGUAAAGCCCUUUUGUUGGGAAAGAAAAGCAGCAGGUUAAUACCCCGCUGUUCUGACGGUACCCAAAGAAUAAGCACCGGCUAACUUCGUG